ACAGAGAGGCUGUGAUUCUCUGGCUUCAGCUCUGUGUUCAAACCCCUCACACCUGAGAGAGCUGGAUCUGAGAUACAAUCACCCAGGAGACUCAGGAGUGAGAGCGCUGUCUGCUGCUAACCUGGACACACUCACACUGCUUGUGGACCAUGGAGGAGAGAACAGGACCAAACCAGGACCCAGGAAAUACGGCUGUCAGCUCACACUGGAUCCAAACACAGCGAACAGGAAGCUGUCUCUGUCUGAGGGGAACAGGAGGCUGACACGCACACUGGGGAGAGAGGAGCAGCCAUAUCCUGAUCAUCCAGAGAGAUUUAAGUACAUGCCUCAGGUUGUGUGCAGAGAGAGAGUGUGUGAGCGCUGUUACUGGGAGGCUGAGUUCAGUGUGUCUGAGAGGGGACAGGUUUCUAUAGCAGUGACAUAUAAAGGAAUCAGCAGGAAAGGAAAGGAGUCUGACUCUCUGUUUGGAUGGAAUAAAAACUCCUGGAGUCUGGAGUGCAUUAAACCCAGUUACUCUGAUAAACUCAGUGACUCUGAUAUACUCGGAUACUGUGUCUGGCACAAUGAGAACCCAACACACAUACCUGUCCCCCCCUCCCCCUACCGCAGAGCAGGAGUGUGUGAUGAUGAUGGUAGAGGUGUGUGUGUGUACAGGGUAGGAGUGUGUGUGGACCGUCCGGCUGCCACUCUGUCCUUCUACAGCGUCUCUGACUCUGACACACUGACCCUCCUGCACAGACUCCACACACACUUCACUCAACACACACCCCUCUGUGCUGGAUUUGGAGUGUGGGGCUCCUGCUCAGUGUCCCUCUGCCAACUGGAGUAGAGACACACACACACACACAUUCAGAUACACAUAGACACACCCACACCUACACACACUCAUGUGCACAUACACACACACACACACACACUCAUAUACACAUACACACACACACACCACACUCAUGUACACAUACCAAGCGGCCAAAACCAGACUUCGUUUUUGAAGCUCAUUUCCUGGUGUUGUAGUUCCUGGAUGCUCACUAGCGCCACUACGGAUGGCUCCAGUAUAGGUGUUUUCAUAUCCGGUUUCCAUGUAAGUCUACGGUACAAAUGUGAUCAAAAUACAAAGUCAAUAAUUUUUUCUCACAAGAACAAAUAGUCAUAAUAGGUGUAUUUUAUUCGUCUUAUGACUGUCCAUGGGUCGAUUUAAUGAUUUAUUGCGUUAUUUGGGUACAGUGCCAAUAUUUGUUCUGGACCAAUGAGGUACAGCUUGCGUCACUUCCGGAUUACUGCGGAGAACUGAGCUACAGUAGGGGCUACAAUCUGUGGUCACUGGGGUGGGAGGUGGCGUUUCUUGGCCUUGACAUUGCGGCUCCGACCACGGUCCACCUGUGCGAAGUCAGAAAAUGCAGGCAUCCCAUUUUGUAGUGGUUUCAUUAUAGCGUGUGCUAUUUACAGCUGCACUAGACGACCAUAAAAUAAUCCUCCUCUGAAGUUUUGCGGUAGCCGAGUCAUUUUUACUAUUUCCUUUAGCCCACAGAAAGCGUAAUCAGCUAACGCUUAUUUUCUAUAUACGGUAGUACAGUAGCCUAUGCUAAAACAGUUAGCAACUUCGGCUACCAAGCCAUUUGACUAGUUAGCUAAUAUUCCAUCUGUCAAACGUGUUUGACGGCUUGUCAGUCGUGUACAUCCCGUAAAUGUCUACCUGGGCUAUGCUGCACGAAUGUGACAAAGCUAGAAGCUAGCAAGAAAAUAAUAAUAAUUAGAAAUUCAACGUACAUUUUUUUGUCUUUAUGCAACAGGUGGAAAACUUGCUCUUCGAAGUGCGUUGUCAUAUUUACACGCCCUUAGAUCAGUUAUUAAAAUACUUGGUAGAUUUGUUAAUCACCACUGAGUGUUAAUUUUUAUUCGGUAAAAAGUGACUUGCGAACGAUCGGUCAGCUAGCGUCACCCAGCAAGUAAACACCACAAACGGCGAUGGAGUAGUAGCAGUUAAUGGCUCAUUAACUGACUGUGGCGAAAACCAACGACGAUAACUUGCUUGGUUAACAGCAGGUCUACCAGACAGUUAUAUGAAAAUUAGCCUAGUCAAAUCACCAGUAGUCUACACAUCGCUGAUUGAUUGACCAUCAGUGCAGUCGAUGUUCUUCCCCUGUAGUUCAUAUUGCUAAUGCGUGAGCUAACCACGGAUAGCUUACCUAGCUCACUGGCAAGCUGAUAUGCUAGCUAAGCAUAUUCCUUUUGCCGAGAAACAUAAACUGAAGAUAACUGAACAUAAUUGUAUUAUUAAUGUCAUACAUAUAACGUGAUUACAUGGAAAUUAAACUCCGUAAACAUUUGAUCAUAUAUUUUAAAACAUAACGGCAGACAGUCAGCUAGCCUCAAGUUCGUUCUGCAAUCGUUCGUUCAGGUUGAUGGGCUUUUCCGCACCGGACUGUCAAUCACAUUGUAAAAAUCACACGACCGCUUAACUCUAUGGUUUUGGCUCCAAAUCGAGAACAUGGCCGCGCCCGCCAUUGAGCUUCAAAACGUGUUUUACAGACCCACGGAGAGGCAAUGGGUGACGUCACAGUAGCUUUGUCCAUAUUUUUUACAGUCUCUGACACAUACACACACACACACCACACACACUCAUACACAUACACACACACACACACACCACACUCAUGUACAUAUACACACACACACCACACUCAUAUACCCACUCACACACACA